GUCGGACCUGAGGAUAGUAGCUUAAAAGAACGGCUCUGUUCUUAAAAUUUCACCACCAAUUUCGUAUUUUUUUUAACCUGGAUAUGUGAAAGAAAUCUAUGCCAAGUAACGGAGCAUGGUUUGGCUUUACACCACCUUUUUCAUCUCCAUUAGGCACUUACAUCCAUUUUGGUUUGGCAAUUAGAUCCCCUAGAUUCUUGCAGGUGCCAUUAGGUCUUUGGGAUGUACCUGAUGCUGUGGGGCCGCAUAAUCAUUCUGUGACUGAGAAGAAAGACAUCAAUGUUCUCUCAACAGUGUAAUAAAAGAUUUCGAAUAUCAUUUUUGUAUUGGUUAAAAAUUUACUUAUGUGCAAGAAACAAAGAACUUCAAGCUCCUUACAAGUCAGUUGAAUUGGGACACAUUGAGUUGACACGUCACAUUGGCAAAGUCACUGAAAAUUUAAAUUUACAAAAAUUGA